rnacentral:lncRNA from 1 species
UCACCUCAGCCUCCAUGGAUGCCAUGGAUUCCAAUCUUAAAGGUCAAUUUUCUCAUCCUUUCUUCCAUUUUCCCGUUAGUUUUCAGAUUCUCAGGAUUUUCUUUGCCAAAGUUGGUUGAUUCUUCUGGGGUUUUGGUUUUGUUUUUCUUCUGCAGGGAUGGCUGUUGUGAUAAUGGGUGUCUGUGGGUCUGGGAAAUCGUAAGUCCUCAUUACCCAUUUCGCUACGUGUCCCUUGAACUUUCCGGGAAAUUCCAAUUUUCUCAUUAUGCCCAUCAUGCCCACCUUGUUUGGAUGCUUAGAAAAUUUGUUUACUUAUUUUCCUUCUGAUUUCUUGAAUGAUUGUUGACCUUGUUGUAUAGUCCAUACCUGUUGCCUUCGUUUGUUUGGGGAAAUUAGAAAUUCUGUCUUCAAUGAAGAUGACAUUGAAAACUGUUACAGAAAAUGCGAGAAUGUUGUCAUAUUUCAAUUAAAUUUAGGGUUUUAAUGAUUGAAAAUGAUCAAAGAUGACAAGUUCUGUUGUCUAUUUCAUCAUUUUCAUUUCCAAAUAGCGAGAAAAUUUUUGAAAAACUAAUCUUCAUUCUGCUACAAAACAUGCUUUUAGGGAUUUCAAAAUCUUUCCUCCACUGAAACCAAUCUGCAUUCGAUGCUUGAAAGGAAUCAUGUUUUGCUGUUGAUUGUCCAAAACCCGAAAAAUAUGUAGCUACACAUGCCUUGUAACAACUUUGGAAUGAUGGUUUUCUGUUUCAUUAAUCGUAGAUUGCAUCUUGGUAGAUGAACGUAGAUCGAUAUAAUGUUGGUUUUGUUUGGUUUCUGAGAAAAUGUAGGAAAAUAGAUGAAAUUACAACUUUUGAGUCUGAAUCUUAGUUUCUUCGUCAUUGGGACCUGAAAAAGAACAAUAAACUCCAUGCAGCUGAACCUAAUAUGAGAAUGUUGCCUGGAUGAAACAGAGAACAGAACAAAACCCUAGUCUCAUUUUUUUUCACUGCAUUUUCUUGACAAACAAACAGUAAUUUCUGCAUCUGCUCAUGUAUUGAAUGGUGUUUCAACAGUACAAUAGGGAAUAUGCUUGCAAAAGUCCUGAAUUGCAGCUUUCUUGAUGCUGAUGAUUUCCACCCAGAAUCAAAUAAAGGUAAAUACACAACUUCAUUCUAACAGUUGAGCAUGAAAUUAUAAUCCUACCGAAAAAUUUCAUCCUCAUUUCAUUGAAAUUGUCAUUUGUGCCACAAAACAGAUAAGAUGAAGAGAGGGAUUGCUCUAUCAGACAAAGACCGGAUUCCCUGGCUUGAAACACUAAGGAAUGCUCUAAGAGAGCACUUGCUUAGCAACAACACUGUGGUUCUCGGGUGCUCUGCCCUGCAGAAGAAUUACCGAGAAAUUCUUAGGUCUGCAGACCCUAACUAUGAGCAUGGAAGCUUUGAAAGCAUGGUGAAGUUUGUUUUGUUGGAUGCCCGGGCUGAGGUGAUAGCCGCUCGGCUAGAGAAAAGAGCAGCAGAAGGGAAUCAUUUCAUGCCUCCAAACCUUCUUCAGUCUCAGUUGGACUCACUUCAGCUUGAUCCUUCAGAAGGCAUACUCAAGGUUGAUGCUACUCAAAGUCCUGACGAUACUGUCAAUGGCAUACAAGCUCUGAUCUUCUGAUCGUCAAUUCCUCAGACAAAAAUUAGGUAUUCAAGACCUUAUCUAGUUGAGAUGAAAAGGAGUUUUAUUUUAUUUUAUUUUUUAUUUUUAUUUAAUCUAAUUCAAGUUGAAGAUGGCUCCAUCAAACAUGACUGAUUGGUUUCAAAGUCUCACCAGAUUCAUUUCCAUGUUUUUUUCGUCACUAGGUGUAAUUGAACCCGAGCAUUUGCCUUAUGAAUAUACAGACAGGAAGUGAAAAGGAAUCCAUAGGAAUGACACAGACUCAAAUGACAACAAUGGCAGGAAUCUAAAAUUGGUGAAAAAUAGAUUUUAUUUUGUAACUGAACAUCACUUCUUGAAAGUGCAAUGCCAUAGAUCUUGAUAAUUUUUGUUGGAUAUGAAUAAAAAUGUUUCUACUCGUGCUUGCCUUGGUUGUAAGGUGCUAAAAAAAUUAUGGUUCGGGAUUUAAAUAAGUCAAGAUCAAGAUAACAACAGCUUAUCAAAAGAAUGAACAUACCUAAAGGAUUUAUGCAGGUUUAGUAAAAGCUGCAUAUGCACAUCCUAUGCAGGUUAUGGUAGCAAAGAGGAGAAAUGGAAAAAAAAAGAGGCAAAAUAUGGUUUAAUUUUUUAGUUUCUUAUCAUUGUGGUUUUUGAGGAUACUAAUCGAUUGUCUAGUAUAAAGCCUAUUAUCACCCCUUGUGCAUGAGUGCUUAAGAAAAGCCAAAGUCAGUGACACUAUGUUUUAUUAUGCAAGCUACAUUGAGGGUGUCUUUUGGUAUGAGCCUAUCCUCACAUCCCAUGCAUAGAGGCCUAAGUUUAGGAGACUAUUGUCACAAGAUGAUUCAAAUGAGCCUCCCCAUGGGCUUAUAUAGAGCCAGGAAGCUUCUGGAGACUCCUAGAGUGGGAAGAGAGUGUGGAAGGUUCUAGAGAUGCCUGGAGGAAUCCACACAACUCUACACUAUGGUGGAAGACAUGAGAGGAGUCCACAGCCUUCUAAAGAAUUCCAGAGGUCUCUUGUAUAUUUUUGUACAUAGGCUUGUACCUAAAAUGAUGUUGGACAUUCUAGAAUAUACUUGAAUUGGAAGGAACCCUCCAAGGUUCCAGAGAGUUCCAUUGGUGCCUAUAAAUAGGUGAGGGCCUCAUUUGGCCAAGGCACCAAGCAAGUGAGUCUUCAAAACACUUGUAAAGGCUUCCUUGAGUAAUAAGAGCUUCCAUUCUCUAAGAGUUGCCUACUAAGCUUCUUAAGCUUUCGAGUUGUGAGCAUCUUAGCCUAGCAAGCUAAGCAUUGGGAGCAAGGCUGACUUAGCAAGAUCAAGUGUCUUGACUUGCCUAAGUGUCGCACGAGCUUAGUGAACGACUAAGUCCGUGACACUAUGCUUUGAUUGUCAUGGCUUGUUCUUGGGUGCUUAGGAGAAACAAAUUACGCAACACUAUGCUCCGGUAUGCAAGCUACAUUGAGAGGGUCUUUAUCAAGUUUAAAACUUGUCUAGUAUGGGUCUAUUGUCAUGCCCUAUCCAUGGGUGCUUAGGAGAAGUCUUAAGUUUGGGACACUGAUUGUCAUGCCUUGUGCUUGGGUGCUUAGUGAGAAACCUAAGUAUGCGACACCAUACUUUGAUAUGCAAGCUACAUUGAGGGUGUCUUUCUCAAGUUUAAAACUCGGCUAGUACAAGUCUAUUGUCAUGCUUUAUGGGUGCUCGGGAGAGGCCUAAGUUUCAUUUUGUCCAGCAUGAAGUUACUGUCAUGCCUUGUGGAUGGGUGUUUAGGAGAGGCCUAAGCUUGAGACGCCAUAAUCUCAGUUAUGCUGGUUUUAGGAAAGUAUUAAGAAAAAAAAAAUUAAGAAAAUGAUUUUCUCGUAUUCGGUUUUAUUAAGGAAAAUAUUUAAAAAAAAAAACAAAUAUAAUUCAAAAUGAUUAGAAAUUUAUGUAUUUUCAAAUUAUUUAAUCAUUAUAUAAAAAUUAAAAUAAAUAAAAUGAGUUGACAUAAAAAAAAUUUAUUGAUAUUAAAUAUAUUUUUUAUUUUCCUUCGUUAUAUCUUUCCUUCUACUUUCUUCUUUGUUUUCUUUCUUUUGUAUUUUUCAGCAAAUUUUCUAGGAAUCAAACAUUACCUUAAGAAAUAGAGAAACAAUUGUAAAAAUAUUUUUCUCCUCAUUUUUUUUUUCUACUUUCAUAAAAGUGAGGAAUUUUUUUUUAAAUAGAAAAACAAACAAGAAACAACUUUUAUAAUUUUUUCAUAUUUCUUUAUUUCCUUAUAUUUUUCUUCUAUUUUCUUUUCUUGAACCUUUUGGGAACUAAAUAUAUAUUAAAAAAUGAAGUAUAAUAUAAAUAAAAUAUAUAAAAAACAUAAUACAUAAAAAAGAUAAUUAUAAAUAUUUUUCAAUAUUAGCACAAUUUCUUUGGAAAAUUACUAAUUUACUAUUAUGUACAUAUUUUUUAAAAUCUUUACUAAUUUAUUAUGUACAUAUAUGAAUAAGAAAAUAACUUAAUUUUAUUUAAUAAUUUAAUUGUAUUUAAUAAUUUAAUUGUAUUUAAUAAUUUAAUUGUACUUGACCUUAACUAAAAUUGCACUAGGGUAAAAUCAAAGAAUCAUUCACAUUAUCAUUUUUCCACUACAAGAAUAAAAUAUUUGUUAGAGUUGUUCAUUAUACAUUUUUUUUAUUGCAAAUUAAAUCAUAAUUAUGAAAUUUCAAAAAAUUAAUUAGUUUUAUUUCAAAAUUUAAUUAAUUUUAUUUAUUACCUAAUAUUAUAUAUAAAAAAACUCUAAUUCUAUGUUUGAUUCCUGGAAGUAGUAAGAAAAGAAGAAAAAAAUCAUAAAGAAAAUAGUUUUCUCGUGUUUGGUUUCAUUAAAAAAAUAUGAAAGAAAAUCAAAUAUAAUUAAAAUUAAUUAAAAUUUUAUGAAUUUGAAAAUUAUUUUAUUUUUAUAUAAUAGAGAAAAAUAAGUGAAAUGGGUUUGAAAAAACAUUUUAAAAUAAUUCAUUAACUUUGAAUCUACUUUUUAUUUUCCUUCUACUUUUUCUUUUCAUAGUCUAUUAAUUUUUACUAAUUUAUUAUGCACUUCCUAAACUAUUAUUUUUAUUUAAACAUUAUUACUGAACUAUUUCUUUAAUUAAAACAAAAUUUCUAAGCUAUCAAACGCUCAAUUUCACAUACACCCAAUAAAUAUAUAUAAAAAAAAUAUUUAUAGAUACCAAUAAAAAUGAAACUAAAUAAAAGUAGGAAAAUAAAAUAAGUACCCAAACAAAAGCUUACAAUAAGCUCAAUGCCUCACUUACACCUUCAGUGAGCCUCCUUUUCUUUCAUAAAAUUUGGUUCUCCACGUGUCAUAAAUUUACGCUCACCCAAUGCAAUACCAAUAACAGAAUAGGGUCAUGCAAAACAAAAGGGAGUCCAAAGUAAAUAUGCAUAGCCUAAAAUAAUUCAAGCCCAAAUGUAAUAAACCCAAAAACAUCCUUCAAAUUGAUCUAACAAAUUUCACUACUAAAAAAAAUGGACCCAAAAUUAGCGACAAAAAUAUCUCACAUCCCAUAAACCUUAAUCCAAGAUUCCGAAUUAAUCAGCAAAAUACAAGUACAAUUAACCAAGCCCAAAAUAUGACAAAACAAGAUAAAUUCAAUUAGACCUAAAUUUAAUAUCUCAUAAUUCAAGUCUAAUUUAAUAUACAAAUCGAAUCCUAAACCAAAAUCAAGCUCAAUUUAAUAAAUGUAUAACUAAACAAGUUAAGCAAGCCCAAAUUUCCCAAACCACUACCUAGAAAUCAAAUAAUAAUAAUAAUAAUAACAACAAAAGAAAAUAAAAUAAAAUAAAAUGAAAAUAAAAAUUUUACCUCACGCUUGAAGCCUAAAGUGGAGAAGAAGGUUGUGCAGCAAGAUGCACUGGGUUUGGGUGUCGCGGGUAAAUAGAGUGUGGGAAGAGGGUCUGAUGGUGAGGUCGUGUGAGUGUGUGUGUGGGGAGAAGAAAUAAAGGAAAGUAAGAGAGAAAAUGGGGAAGAAAGAGAGAAGGGAGAAGGAAGGGCUGUGUCUCUGUGAGUGGCCAUGUGUGGUGAGGGGGAGAGUGAAGAAAAAAUGGAAUGAAAAAAUGAGAGAAAAAAGGAGAAAAGAAAAUGGAAAGGGAAAGAAGAGGAGAGAGAGUGGGGGGAGUGUGGGCAGAGAUAAAAAGGAGGAAAGAAAAAAAAAAAAAUAAAGAAAAAAU